UACGAGUGCCUCAAGCGUUAUCCGGAAUCAUUGGGCGUAAAGGUUGUGUAGGUGGUUGUAUUAGUCUUCUGUUAAAUUCUUCGGCUUAACCGGGGGCAUGCAGGGGAAACGGUACGACUAGAGGAUGCGAGGGGUCUGUGGAAUUCAUAGUGUAGCGGUAAAAAUGCGUUGAUAUUAUGGAGAACACCAAAAGCGAAGGCAGCAGACUGGAGCACUCCUGACACUGAAACAAGAAAGCGUGGGUCGCGAAUGGG
rnacentral:rRNA from 1 species